GAUGAACGCUGGCGGCGUGCCUAAUACAUGCAAGUCGAGCGAACGGACGAGAAGCUUGCUUCUCUGAUGUUAGCGGCGGACGGGUGAGUAACACGUGGAUAACCUACCUAUAAGACUGGGAUAACUUCGGGAAACCGGAGCUAAUACCGGAUAAUAUUUUGAACCGCAUGGUUCAAAAGUGAAAGACGGUCUUGCUGUCACUUAUAGAUGGAUCCGCGCUGCAUUAGCUAGUUGGUAAGGUAACGGCUUACCAAGGCAACAAUGCAUAGCCGACCUGAGAGGGUGAUCGGCCACACUGGAACUGAGACACGGUCCAGACUCCUACGGGAGGCAGCAGUAGGGAAUCUUCCGCAGUGGGCGAAAGCCUGACGGAGCAACGCCGCGUGAGUGAUGAAGGUCUUCGGAUCGUAAAACUCUGUUAUUAGGGAAGAACAUAUGUGUAAGUAACUGUGCACAUCUUGACGGUACCUAAUCAGAAAGCCACGGCUAACUACGUGCCAGCAGCCGCGGUAAUACGUAGGUGGCAAGCGUUAUCCGGAAUUAUUGGGCGUAAAGCGCGCGUAGGCGGUUUUUUAAGUCUGAUGUGAAAGCCCACGGCUCAACCGUGGAGGGUCAUUGGAAACUGGAAAACUUGAGUGCAGAAGAGGAAAGUGGAAUUCCAUGUGUAGCGGUGAAAUGCGCAGAGAUAUGGAGGAACACCAGUGGCGAAGGCGACUUUCUGGUCUGUAACUGACGCUGAUGUGCGAAAGCGUGGGGAUCAAACAGGAUUAGAUACCCUGGUAGUCCACGCCGUAAACGAUGAGUGCUAAGUGUUAGGGGGUUUCCGCCCCUUAGUGCUGCAGCUAACGCAUUAAGCACUCCGCCUGGGGAGUACGACCGCAAGGUUGAAACUCAAAGGAAUUGACGGGGACCCGCACAAGCGGUGGAGCAUGUGGUUUAAUUCGAAGCAACGCGAAGAACCUUACCAAAUCUUGACAUCCUUUGACAACUCUAGAGAUAGAGCCUUCCCCUUCGGGGGACAAAGUGACAGGUGGUGCAUGGUUGUCGUCAGCUCGUGUCGUGAGAUGUUGGGUUAAGUCCCGCAACGAGCGCAACCCUUAAGCUUAGUUGCCAUCAUUAAGUUGGGCACUCUAAGUUGACUGCCGGUGACAAACCGGAGGAAGGUGGGGAUGACGUCAAAUCAUCAUGCCCCUUAUGAUUUGGGCUACACACGUGCUACAAUGGACAAUACAAAGGGCAGCGAAACCGCGAGGUCAAGCAAAUCCCAUAAAGUUGUUCUCAGUUCGGAUUGUAGUCUGCAACUCGACUACAUGAAGCUGGAAUCGCUAGUAAUCGUAGAUCAGCAUGCUACGGUGAAUACGUUCCCGGGUCU
rnacentral:rRNA from 1 species